GCCGAAGUGGCGGAAUAGGCAGACGCGCACGACUCAAAAUCGUGUGCCCUCGGGCGUGUGGGUUCGAUUCCCACCUUCGGCA
rnacentral:tRNA from 1 species